GGUCUUAUAGUGUAGCGGUUAGGUAGGGUGACACGCUUCGCCUUCACCAUGAACGUCGGCUAACUUGCUUCAGCACAUCGGAUUCUGAUAGUAAAAUGUCUGAAUCUUCCGGUAACCCCGGUUCGAAUCCGGGUAAGACCU